CAUUAGAUGAAAAUAUGAUUUGAUGAUGAAUAAUGAGAAAUUAAAGAGCUUCUUGAUAAAGGUGAGGGAGAAGAGUGAAAGAGCUGACCUAAAACUCAAUAUGAAAAAUCUCAGAUCAUGGCAUCCAGCCCCAUUACCUCAUGGCAAAUAGAAGUGGAAAAGGUGGAAGUAGUGACAGAUUUCCUCUUCUUGGACUCUAAAAUCACUGCAGAUGAGCCAUGGCAGCUGCAGAAAUGCUGUUCAUUUCUUCAGCUACAACAGACAACUGUGUUAUGCCAGUUUUUUCUGUGAAUCCUUGUGAAAUGAGACUGAAGCUGGUCCCUCUGGGAGUCCACUGAAAGAGCAGAGAUGUAGAAGUUUGUCCUACUUUUUCUCCCUCCCUCCAAAAAAGAGGAAUCACAAUCUCUCUUCGUGCUUAGUUGUGAUACAGUUCUAUUAGCAAAAGAUUAGAAUCAACUUGACAUUCAUCAACUAAGAGCUUGUUAUGUCCACAUAUUCAUGGGAUGGAAAACUAAGCAGCCAUACAUAUGAAACUGCUGACACCAGUUGCUUGAGUAGAAUGGAACCAUAACAGAAGAAUACAGAAAUGAUGUUAGACAAAGAACAAAUUCAAGCAAUUUUCUUUAUUUGAAUUCAAAAUGGGUUGUAAGGCAGUGGAGACAACUUGCAACAUCAACAAGGCAUUUUUACCCAGGAACUGGUAACAAACAUACAGUGCAGUGGUGGUUCAAGAAGUUUUGCAAAGGAGACAAGAGCCUUGAAGAUGAAGAGUGCAGUGGCUGGCCAUUAAAGGUGGAAUUUCAUUUUAAUGAAUACCAUUUUAAACAUCUGUAUGGACAUGGUGAAGCUAUUUUUGUGUUCUAGGAGAUGAGCCACAGGAACUGUGCUUUCUUGACUUGGCUAAAACAAAUUCUAAAAAAAAGAAAUUCUUUACUCACAAGGACUGUCAAUACAAAAAUAGGUAUUUUAAUAAGAAGUAAUUAUCAUUCAUAAAUGAAAUACCCUGGCCUUGGCUACUUCCAAGAAAACAGAACAAGAGCUGGUGAGUAGAAGGCAAAGUGAACUGGAAAGCAAGAGAAAAUGAGAGAAAAUGGAGCAAAGCACUCAACUGAGACCUGUUAGAAAGUUCAAACCUUAAGCCAGAAUUCCACUUGUAAACAUAACCCCUCCUCUUCUCCUGCUUACUUCACAAGUUACCUCCUCUACAAAGCGUUUUCAAGUCCCUCUAGACAUACAGUUCAGUUCCCUGUCUCCUGUAAUCCCAUUUGUUCUGAAUCUGUGCAUAACAUUUACCCUUAUUCAUCUUAUCCCUUUAGAGAUAAUUGUUUUGUGCUCUGUCCCUUUCCCCCACCAAGACUCAGGGCUCAGAUCUCUAAGGCAAAGAUUGAUUCAACGUCCUAUGACCAAAACCUAGAACACAGCUUAGUACAUAAUAGCUAUUUGAUAAAUUCUCAUUGAAUUUAACAUAUAUUAAAUACAUAUAAAUAUAUAUAGUUGUUGGUGAAGCUCUCAGAACAGGGACUUGGAAGGGUUUAACACACUGUUGGGGUUUCGCAGGCUGGAAGAACAAGUUACCUCAUAAGAACCGAAGGCCAGAAUGGGGACUGCGAAAUGGACUCAAAGGGGCUCUCUGGCAGCACAUUAGAAGGCUUGGUCCCCUUUCCUCAGAUAACAUCAGCUCAGGGUCUGGUGCCAACGCGACCGGGCUAUUCUGAAUGAGGUUCCAACUUCCAACCUCC